rnacentral:rRNA from 1 species
UGGAGGGCAAGUCUGGUGCCAGCAGCCGCGGUAAUUCCAGCUCCAAUAGCGUAUAUUAAAGUUGUUGCAGUUAAAAAGCUCGUAGUUGAAUUUUAGGCCUGGCCGGGCGGUCCGUCUUUGGCGAGUACUGUUCUGUGUCGGGUCUUACCUUCUGGUAAACCGGCAUGUUCUUUUAUUGUGUGUGCCGUGGGAACCAGACCAUUACCUUGAAAAAAUUAGAGUGUUUAAAGCGGGCUUUUGCUUGAAUAUAUUAGCAUGGAAUAAUAAAAUAGGACGUUGGUUCUAUUUUGUUGGUCUAGGACCACCGUAAUGAUUAAUAGGGAUAGUUGGGGGCAUUAGUAUUCAAUUGUCAGAGGUGAAAUUCUUGGAUUUAUUGAAGACUAACUAUUGCGAAAGCAUUUGCCAAGGAUGUUUUCAUUAAUCAAGAACGAAAGUUAGGGGAUCGAAGACGAUCAGAUACCGUCGUAGUCUUAACCAUAAACUAUGCCGACUAGGAAUCGGGCGUCGUUAUUUUCACGACUCGCUCGGCGCCUUACGGGAAAC